GGAAUUGGAUUUUGGCCCUCCUGAGAUGGGAGCUGGGAGAUAGCAAGUUCCGUCCAAUUAGUCAUAGAGAUAAAAAAAAAUAGUGUGAUAUGAAAUUUGGCUCACGAGUCAUCUGUUCUGACUGGAGGUCAAUUGCAAGUCUUUCAAGUCAUGGGUCACCCAGCACCUCAUAGUUAUGAUAUGGUCAAAUUAGAUUUGCUCAAAAUUCUUUCCUAAAAGUAUAGAAAAAUUGGAUCCGGACCCGAAAACCCGACUCGGACCCGACCCGAUCUUCAACCGGGUCAGAUCUGGGAAGGGAUCCUUCUGAACUCAAAUUUGUACUCAAUGUGCAUUUUAUCUCUAAUUUAUGAUAAUCUGUGUCAAACCCAAAUAUAAUAUUAAUCCAGUUAAUUUAUCAUUAUUGGUUUAGCAAUAACACUAAUUUUAGUGACAUAUAGGUCGCACUUUUGUGCUCUCAUCUAAAGUCAUCCGGUUCCUUCCAGCUUUCCGUGAGCCAAUCCAACAUCUUCCCACACCCAAACACAACCCCUGUUCCGCAUCACCGUACGUAUCUUCCAUCCAAAGACUUCCACAAAAUCCCAGCAACCUCAUCUUCUUCCGGAUUCGUUUCAUCCAUAUCCCGCUGCCAGCCAGGAUAGCAUCCCGUGUCCCACGAAUAAAUUCAAAGACUUCCUUCUCCCACAUCUCCGUAUUCAUCCUCAUCCUUCCCAGCAUCUUCCUAACCUCCCAACUCCACGCUCCCAGUUCAUUUCCUCUUCCGAGUCCUUCUCAAACCGAAUCUAGAUUAGAACAAAAGCAUCCCCUGUUUCUCCGCGACAUCCUCCACGUCCUUUCCGAGCUUAUCUUCCCAAGGAAUGAACGAACUCCUUUCGCUCCCAGCUCAACCACAAAUCCCAGCUUCAUGACUUCCGAUUCUUCUUUCUUCCCAGCCUUCGUUCUUCAGACUUCAUCCUAAUCUCCCAACAUUCUCCUUUGCAUUUGAAGCAGCAGCAGCUUUCCGGAUCAACUCCAUCCCAGGUCGAAUCCCCUGCUUCGGAAUAGAGCCGUAACCCCAUCCGGAUUCAUCCCAGCAUUCCGGAUUCAUCCCAUUAGCUUCCUCUGUGAUCCAUUCGCAUCCCAGCUGCCAGCCGGUCCAAGAUCUUCUCCACGUCCUCCCAUCCCCUGCAGCCAAGGAUCAAGCUGACUUCAGUCCGCGGAUCAAGCUUCCAAGCUCAUCUUCUUCCCAACUCCCGAAUCAGCUCCAACUUUAUCCCGCGUCCGCCGCUUCUCCGCCCUUAUCUUCCCACUCGAUCUUAUCCAGGGAGGGAAAUAGAGGAGUUGGUGAAGCUAUAAAAGGAAGAGGCUUCGAAAUCAUCUUCUUUCUUCUCCGAGGCUGAGAUCCCACAGAGUGCAUAAGUGAGAGAGUAGUUUGGGUAUUAUGGGAAGACUUCCAACGGAAAUAAAAAAAAUAUGAAAUGGAAUGAGGGAAAAUUAGCCGGAGCUUCUUCCAUCAUCACGACAUAUUCUUCUCUUCUUUCGCGCCGCCACCUCCCUCGAAAGAAGUCAGACAUGCCGUCUUCAUCCCGCUGUGCUGCUAUUGUCCGCCGCUGUGCUGUGCUGUGUUAGAUGUAUGCCCUAGAAGCCAAUCUGGCAGACACAUUAUUAAUUCUGGGCAAUAAAUUUGUACUUGACUUUAUUAUUAUUGAAUAAUAAAUGGGCAUCUUUUCAUUCAUAUUGUUUAUGUGUCUAUGAAUCAUCCAAGAAAUUAAUAAAAUGAUGAUACAUAUUCUCAAGAGUUGAGAAUUUGAACCAUGUAUCAUUGGUGAUUAAUUUCUAAAUGCUCUUGAUCAAUGGAUCAUCACGAGAACGGUGAUCAAUCCGAUCAGUGCACAGAUCGCUUUUCUUAUGGAUGGACGAGACUCGAGUCCACAGUGUAGGGACACUGAAGUGAGAGUGCAAGUGCUUGUUAGAGAACAAGGGUACUGAGCGUGACCAAGACAAGAAGUCACUUGGAUAUCUAUCCACUCGUCAGUGACUUACUUGAUGUUGCAGCAGUGUGACUGGUCCUUUGACCUACGGUGCUUCGGCUACUCACAGUGAGGUUAUUGUAGUUUGACUGCAUAUACAUGGUCUCUAGUCAUAUGGGUCCUUAUAGUGUAGAUUGGCUGUUGUAGGUUCACUGUAGGAGUAGAGUAUGCACCUACAUUGAAUCUAACGAUCUUGAUAGAUGAGGAGCGAUCCUAUGUGAUUUAUUAGAUUGAGUUCUAAGACCUUGGCCAGGGCAGUAAAUACAGUGGAGAAAGAGUUUUCCACUAUCGGACUCAAGUCGAAUAAAUCUAGACAUAUGACAGACAACGGGGUUUGACGAGUUAUCCAUGACCUCCGAUCUGUAGAGAUCCACGAUAGAAGGACUAUAUCAUAUGAUAACUACACCUAGAGGUUCAUCAUUCUAUUCUGCUGGGUAGCCACUACAUACUGCUAGGUGUCACUGGUGGAUGGUGAGACUCAUCGGGAUCAUCUCGAUGGUCGAUAAUCCCUGGUGAGUUGAGUUGGAAUUGUUUCAACCCAUUGAAAGGAGUUUUCAAUGAUAUUGUGAUAAAGAUUCUAAUAUUUCUCACUACCAGUCAGAAUAGAACCUAUGGGGUUACAG
rnacentral:lncRNA from 1 species